rnacentral:rRNA from 1 species
AUACGUAGGGUGCGAGCGUUGUCCGGAAUUACUGGGCGUAAAGAGCUCGUAGGUGGUUUGUCGCGUCGUCUGUGAAAUUCCGGGGCUUAACUCCGGGCGUGCAGGCGAUACGGGCAUAACUUGAGUACUGUAGGGGAGACUGGAAUUCCUGGUGUAGCGGUGAAAUGCGCAGAUAUCAGGAGGAACACCGGUGGCGAAGGCGGGUCUCUGGGCAGUAACAGACGCUGAGGAGCGAAAGCAUGGGUAGCGAACAGGAUUAGAUACCCUGGUAGGCCAUGCCGUAAACGGUGGGCGCUAGGUGUAGGGGUCUUCCACGACUUCUGUGCCGUAGCUAACGCAUUAAGCGCCCCGCCUGGGGAGUACGGCCGCAAGGCUAAAACUCAAAGGAAUUGACGGGG